rnacentral:rRNA from 1 species
UUGGGUUAAGUCCCGCACGAGCGCAACCCUCGUCUUUAGUUGCCAGCAUUAAGUUGGGCACUCUGGAGAGACUGCCGGUGACAAACCGGAGGAAGGUGGGGAUGACGUCAAGUCAGCAUGCCCCUUACGUCUUGGGCUACACACGUACUACAAUGCUUCGGACAAAGGGUUGCAAGCGUGCGAACGCAAGCUAAUCCCAUAAACCGAGGCUCAGUUCAGAUUGCAGGCUGCAACUCGCCUGCAUGAAGGCGGAAUCGCUAGUAAUCGCAGGUCAGCAUACUGCGGUUGAAUACGUACCCGGGCCUUGUACACACCGCCCGUCACACCAUGGGAGUUGGCCACNCCCGAAGUCGNUACUCCAACCGUUCGCGGNNGAGGAUGCCGAAGGCAGGGCUGAUGAC